CUGACUGUACCUGGGGAGGGAGGGAGGGAUUAUAUCCCACCUUUCAUCCAAAGAGCUAAAGGUAUGAUAGACACAUGGCUCUUUCCAUCUCCAAUUUCCUCCUCACAGUAACCCUGUGAGGUGGGUUAGGCUGAAAGGCUGUGACUGGCCUAAGGUCACUCAGUGAGUUUCUUUUUUGAAAUAUUCUAUAUUGGUUUUUACAAAUAGAAAAAAGAAUUUAUUUAUUUUUAAAAACAAUCAAUUUCUGAGAUUCUCUGAAUCUCGUUACUUCACCCCAUCCCUUGCAUGGUCCUCCACAAUUAGUCUACAACUACAUAUCAAUACAGGGACAUGGGUGGCACUGUGGGUUAAACCACAGAGCCUAGGACUUGCCAAUCAGAAGGUCGGCAGUUCAAAUCCCCGCGAUGGGGUGAGCUCCCGUUGCUCGGUCCCUGCUCCUGCCAACCUAGCAGUUCAAAAGCACAUCAAAGUGCAAGUAGAUAAAUAGGUACCGCUCUGGCAGGAAGGUAAACAGUGUUUCCGUGCACUGCUCUGGCUCUCCAGAAGCGGCUUAGUCAUGCUGGCCACCUGAUCUGGAAGCUGUACGCCGGCUCCCUCGGCCAAUAAAGUGAGAUGAGCAACGCAACCCCAGAGUCGGUCACGACUGGACCUAAUGGUCAGGGGUCCCUUUACCUUUUACAUAUCAAUACGUUCUCCACAAUUUUCAUUUCUCCAAGUCACCUUCAGUCUUCUUAUUUUUAUUUUUACAAGUGAUUCCUAAAGUCCAGCUAACGUUUUUAAUUGUUUACAAUGGUCUCCUAAAUAUAUUAUGAAUUUUCCCUGCUCUUUUUAAAAGCCCUUGUCUUCUUGAUUGUGGAGUCUCAUGGUCAAUUUUACCAUUUUAGCAUAGCCCAACAAUUUGGCUUGCCAUUCUUCCCUAGUUGGGACUGCUGUUUCUUUCCAUUUUUGGGCUAGUAACAUCUGUGCAGCUGUUGUCGCGUACAUAAGUAGUCUUUUCUGGUCUUUCAGAAUGUCGGUUCUUGUAAUUCCCAAUAAAAAUGCUUCUGGUUUUUUGAGAAAUGUUAUUUAAAAUUUUUUUUUUCCAGCUCAUUGUAUACCAUUUCCCAAAGUGAUUUUGUUAUCACACAGGUCCACCACAUAUGGUUAAAUGUACCCUCUUUUUCUUUACAUUUCCAGCAGAUAUUUGAACUUGUUCUGUUCAUUUUAAAUAACUUAGUAGGAGUCAAAUAUAUCAUUUUCAUAUAGUUUUCUUUCAGCGUACAACAUGCUGAGAAUUUCAGAUCCGUUUUCCAAAGCCUCUCCCAAUCUGCCAUUUGUAUGUUAUGUCCUAGGACCUUUGCUCAGUUUAUCAUAACCGAUUUAACCUGUUCAUCUUUUGUCUGCCAGGUUGCUCAGUGAAUUUCAUGGCUGAGGGCUGAGUGAGGAUUUGAACCCUCGUCUCCCAAAUCCUGGUCCAACACUCUUCACACUAACUCUCUAGAAAGCAAUCUGAUGAAUGAAACCCAAGCUUUAUUUGUUUGCAGUGCAACAUUAUUUACGGUUUUGUACGGGGC